rnacentral:lncRNA from 1 species
UUUUGCACCGCUUCAGGCUUGGUUUGGUGCAAUUUUGUGCUCUGCAGGUUGGAGCUUGUUGUUGUUUAACAUUGGGUUGCAGCCGGUGUUCUUGGUUGUUAAGCUGAGCUUACACGUGCAGCUUGCCGUUUUCAAUUAUCCACUACAACUUGGCUUGUUGUUAUUCUCACUGCGUUUCUCUUUUGUGCUUGUAGCUAGCUAC